rnacentral:rRNA from 1 species
UAACCUGCCCUUUGGAGGGGGAUAACGUUCCGAAAGGAGCGCUAAUACCGCAUACAGCAAGAGUCGGUUCGCCGAUUUUUGGCAAAGGUAGGGACCCGCAAGGGCCUACCGCCAGAGGAGGGGUCUGCGGCCCAUCAGCUAGUUGGUGAGGUAAUGGCUCACCAAGGCAGAGACGGGUAGCUGGUCUGAGAGGAUGAUCAGCCACACUGGUACUGGAACACGGACCAG